GCUGGAUGUUGUGGGGCACACCUGUAAUCCCAGCAGCUCAGGAGGCUGAGGCAGGAGGAUUGUGAGCCUCAAAGUUCAAAGCCUCAGUAACUUACCAAGCCCCUAAGUAACUCAGCAAGACUCUGUCUCUU
rnacentral:sRNA from 1 species